rnacentral:rRNA from 1 species
AACGAACGCUGGCGGCGUGGAUAAGACAUGCAAGUCGAGCGCUAAUUUAAGGGUAGCAAUAUUCUUAAGUUGGAGCGGCGCAAGGGUGCGUAACACGUGGGUAAUUUGCCGUGAAGUUGG